UGGGGGAUAUUGCGCAAUGGGGGCAACCCUGACGCAGCAACGCCGCGUGAAGGAUGAAGGUCUUCGGAUCGUAAACUUUUGUCUUAUGGGAAGAAACCUGACGGUACCAUAGGAGGAAGCCACGGCUAACUACGUGCCAGCAGCCGCGGUAAUACGUAGGUGGCAAGCGUUGUCCGGAUUUACUGGGUGUAAAGGGCGUGUAGGCGGGACUGUAGGUCAGAUGUGAAAUACCCGGGCUUAACCCGGGGGUUGCAUUUGAAACCCCGGUUCUUGAGUGCUGGAGAGGAAAGCGGAAUUCCUAGUGUAGCGGUGAAAUGCGUAGAUAUUAGGAGGAACACCAGUGGCGAAGGCGGCUUUCUGGACAGUAACUGACGCUGAGGCGCGAAAGCGUGGGGAGCGAACAGG
rnacentral:rRNA from 2 species